UACAGAGGGUGCGAGCGUUGUCCGGAAUCACUGGGCGUAAAGGGCGCGUAGGCGGUCAUGUAAGUCGGGGGUGAAAUGCUGCGGCUCAACCGCAGCGCUGCCUUCGAGACUGCAUGACUGGAGCACGGUAGAGGCGGAUGGAAUUCCCGGUGUAGCGGUGGAAUGCGUAGAGAUCGGGAAGAACACCAAUGGCGAAGGCAGUCCGCUGGGCCGUUGCUGACGCUGAGGCGCGACAGCGUGGGGAGCAAAC
rnacentral:rRNA from 1 species